rnacentral:sRNA from 1 species
UACGUACCUAUCUUUU